AUUGAACGCUGGCGGCAGGCCUAACACAUGCAAGUCGAGCGGAUGAAGGGAGCUUGCUCCUGGAUUCAGCGGCGGACGGGUGAGUAAUGCCUAGGAAUCUGCCUGGUAGUGGGGGAUAACGUCCGGAAACGGGCGCUAAUACCGCAUACGUCCUGAGGGAGAAAGUGGGGGAUCUUCGGACCUCACGCUAUCAGAUGAGCCUAGGUCGGAUUAGCUAGUUGGUGGGGUAAAGGCCUACCAAGGCGAAGAUCCGUAACUGGUCUGAGAGGAUGAUCAGUCACACUGGAACUGAGACACGGUCCAGACUCCUACGGGAGGCAGCAGUGGGGAAUAUUGGACAAUGGGCGAAUGCCUAAUCCAGCCAUGCCGCGUGUGUGAAGAAGGUCUUCUGAUUGUAAAGCACUUUAAGUUGGGAGGAAGGGCAGUAAGUUAAUACCUUGCUGUUUUGACGUUACCAACAGAAUAAGCACCGGCUAACUUCGUG
rnacentral:rRNA from 1 species